ensembl:lncRNA
UAAUUUGUCAUAUGCAUUUUAUUUGCAUGUUAAUCCUCGUGGAUGCUUUGUAUCAGAACAUUUCUUUAUUAACAAACUGAAGCAUGUUUGCAGAGCAAGGAGUAUUAAAACAUCUUAAAGCUUCAAUGUAUCAAAUACUUUGAAAUUGCAAAAUAUUUUACUCUUUCAGUCCUUUUUGGUCUUUCUUAGUUCUUUCAAUUUUAAUGCAUAAGAACAGUGAUAAUCACAAUGAAGGGCUGCUUUCAAAAACAUUUUUACAGCUUUACUAAAUGUCAGAACUUGGCCUUUCACAAAAUGGUACUCAUAUUCACAAGUUUAUUUCCAGUAAAUUAAUUUUAUCUUUUAUGGUGGACAUCACUUUAAGUCUUCCAAAGCACUGUAAUUUCAUUAUAACACUUUUCCUUUCCAACAAAGUUGAUUUCAACUCACCUUUAUUUACUGACUGGUCAUGUCUUUGCUUGUUGUGUAUUUGUUUUACAGAAAGUGCUGCUGGCAUUUACUGUGACCUCUGUUUAACUAUUCCAUGCACCAGUUAGUAGGUUGAGUUGUAUUACUAAUUUCAGGUUGUAACUUGAUUGAAGUGGUACAAGUUAAAAAUAGACCUUUUUGUCUAGGGGACAAGACCUGAAAACGAUGAAGUAAAAUGCCUUGAACACUUAUUAGAAUGCUGGAUUAAAAUUAAUUCUGAGAUUCAUGAAUAAAGCAACUGUACCUAUUAACUCUCUCUCUCUCUCUUAAGAGACAAUAACUAUACAAGUAAAUCUCUGAAGGUUCUUUGAAAUUGUUGCCCACAGUCAUUUGCAGUCAAUACUUCCGUGAGGUCUCAGCAGAGUUCUGUCCUACUUAAGAGAGAGGUCCAAGCUCUUUGAGGCAGGAUGACUUCCAACUUAUGCCCUUAGGAAUCUACAUUUGAUUUUGUUGGAAGUAUGCUAUGGGAACAAGAGCCAAAGCAGUUGUGACACACAUUCAUUAGUAAAGUCUUUUAUAACCCUUUUCUUAAGUCAUCUCUGCAUUUCCAAAUGUGUCGCUGCUGUGAGCAACUUUAUGAGAACGAAUUCAAAGCCAGCAACCAAUGGCUUAGACAACUUCAGCUGAGGUUCAGCCUCACUAAUUUCAGAACCCCCCAUUUACCAAGUGGUCAGUUUGACUUCAGUGUUUUCUAAACACAGCCUUAGAGAGCUUGAAGGAGCAGGAGAGGAAAAGGAGUUGUUUCAACUUAAAAUAUUUUCAAUUAUCAUUAAGAAUUUGUUAGAACAAUUCAGAUACAUCCUGUUUUCUCCUGAUUUAGUUGUCUUUUUUUUUCCCCAAAAGAACAAUUUGAAGUCAACUCUAUUUAAGUAUCCUCAAGCCUGCAUAUGAAAUGCUCCUUGCUAGGCCUCCUUUGUAGCUUCCAUAUCUCUUCAUUGCAGCAAAGUGGUAUAUAAGCUAGCAAAGCUGGAUGCUUGAAGCCAUGGUUAUGUGGAGUUCCACAUGUGACCAUGUUGCUUGGGAGGCAAAAUACAACCUACUUGGCAUUAAAGUGCUGAGCUCCCUGUGCCACUUUAUCCUGUUGUAAGUGCUAGAGCUGCCUGUUUCAAACUCAGCUCAUGAUUGUCUGCAAUCCAUUGCUGCCACAUUGCAGUGCCUGUAAAAUAAUUGAAAGCUACUGCUCUUGUUCUUCACUCUGCAGAAUGAAACUCCAAAAGAGUGCAAAGUUCUGUUGUGCAACUGAAGAAGUGGCUAAAUGAUUAUGUAGCAUAGGUGUAAAAAUCACUGUGCUAUUUGUUAUUGUAUCUAUCUCUCAUGCACUGAAAAUAUUGAGAUAUUUCCAUGGUUGGGAUGUGACCAAGAGUUCCUUUUUCCCUUACAGAGGCAAGAGAUGCACACAGCUUCACUUCUGGUAUCCUUGCUUGCUCAUCUAGCCAUUGUCAAGGCAGCUGUCAUCCGGGAGCCCUGGAGCUGCAAUGCAGAAGUAAGUAUCACUACCUUCAAUUUUACAGAUCAGAAAACUGAAACAGAAAUGUAAAAUGAAUCACUUCAGAUCUACUUUUCUUGUGGUGCCAUCAUUUAUAAUGUUCAGCUCUGAUCCGCACAAGUUUAUCUAUUUGACCCUAGUGCUUUUCUGCCCUUUUGGGGGGCAUUUCUUUGAUCACUGUCAGCGUAUAUCCUCUGACAGAGCCCUGUUAGAUUUGCACAGUGGGGAGAUAAAACAAUGAGUGUGUAAGUACAGACAUGUAGCUCAUCACAAUGACAUGGCAGUAAUGCACUGAGUUCAGCUCACCCUGGAAGAUGGUCUGAUCCUUGAUAGAUUUAUCACAGCCAAAGACGUGAUUACCAAUCCCACUGCAGAUUUCUUCUAAGUUACUACUUUUCUUAAAGGCACAACGUGUCCCAAUACUUUCUGUUAGAAUUGUGAAUACUUUUGUUUCUUCUUGAAGACCCAAUGGAUUUUUUUCCAUAAACAUUUCUGAAGCCCUUUGAUUCUGGGAGGCCAUUCCAGCACAUAUAAUUUUCUCAAAAUCUUAAUCACUUUACAAAAGCAGUUUUUCUACAUCUCUGUGCCCAGAGACACUGCUGAUGCCCCAUCCCUGCAGGAGGGUUGGAACUAGGUGAUCUUCAAGCUCUCUUCCAACCCAAGCCAUUCUGUGUUUCUGCAAUAUUGUGCAGUUGCAAAUAUUCCUGUUGAAUGCUUAAUUCUCUGUAGUAUUCCAACUUAGAUUUCAUCAAAGCGAGUAGAAAAAUUGAAGUUAAGUUCCUGUUACACAUAAAAGUGAAGAACAUAAGGGUUUUUAAAAAGAACAUAUGGAUACAAAUGUACAUAUUUAAACAAACAUGUUCCAAUCAGCUCAGAUUUUUCUUUUCUUUCUCGUGUGAUCAAAAUGUGAUAAGACACGGUGGAUACUGAAGUCCCUACAGGGCCAGAUCUGAGUCUUGCAAAAGAUGUUAGGAAAAUUUCCAGUGAUUUCUCUGAGUCUCAGACCAGAUCUUUGUUGUUGCGAAAACAUCGGUGAACAACAAUUCAUCUAUGUGCAAAACUCCUGUAUAUAGUUCCAGAUGCCAAAAAUUCUCUAUGCAAUUUCAAUUCUAUUUUGAAUGUGUACUUCUUCCGCUAAAUGACUUAUUACCUAUGCAAAAUAACCUUAACAAAAUGCAAGAAAUGUACAACCAGGACAGUGAAUCUGUAGAGAUGAGAACAUGAACAGAAAAUUUGCCAUGGAAAUGAACAUUGAUUUUUAUGCUUUCUAUUUUUUUUCUGAUGCAGUUCUCAGAGAAUAAAUAGGAGACUCAGUUUUAAAGGGAACGGUGCUAGUCAGCUUAUACACCGCUUUCUGAGAUCCUUCUCUCAAUGUAUAGGGAAAUAAUUCAGUUACUAAGUACCUUAGUGUCUCCAGAGUUACAGCAGCUAUGUGAGAUGAGAAUCUGUUCCUGCAGUAUGUCUUUAAUAUCAAACAUUCAGACAAUUCAAGAUUUUAGCACUGGAAUAUCCAAAUCUCAUAAAGAUGAGUAAUGCUAUGAUUGCAGAUGUCUUCUGUGGUGUUCGUGUGCUGCUUGUUUGUGGAGAAGGAUCAUUUUUAUACCUUAAGAAAGAAUAGCCAUCUCCCUGAGGUACCUUCUAAUGAUGCCACAAGCGCAUUGCAAUACGUAGUUAAUGGCAGCUUUGUAUUGAUAAUGGACUUCUAUGAAUCAUGAGGAGCAUUAAAAAGAAAACACUUUCUUAUCUGUAUGUUCAGAUGCUUUCUAAUUGCUCAUGUGUAUUUCAAAUAACUUUGCAAUUCCUUGUAUUGCAUUAUUCAGAUUUCCUAGUGUCUCACAGAAAAAUAAUUGAAACGCAACCAAAAGAUUUGCACACCAUUAUGGGGAAUACUUUGUUCUUCACAUUCUUUAUCUUGUUAAUAAAGGAUAAGAACGUGCACAUGUACAUCGCCCUCAAUUUUAUUUUCUACUUUCAAAUGUAGCUAUUUUUCACCUGUAAUAGGUUGUAGAUGUACCAACUUCUCAAUAACAGUAGAACUGAGGGGAAAAACAUAGAGCGUUAAAACAACAAGAAAAAAUAUUGAGUAUUUUCUGGUGAAGCAGAUUGUGUUAGAAACUAUCAUUCAAAUUCCAGUGAGAGCUGAGGACUUCCCAGAUCUCACAUUCUCAACACAGACUGUAGGGCUCACUGUUUCCUGUACUGCACAGUCCUGGGGAUGUUCUACAGCUACUGACAGCUAUAUUUGAAGUGCUGGAAGAUUUAAAGGAAAAUAACUUUAUAAGAACACUUGUAUUGUUCAUCUUAAUAUUUAAGCUAAAAUGUCCCUUGUUUUCUUGUGGGGAAAAAGAACAUGAAUGGAAAGAAAAGAGCAUGUGAUAGGUGCCAUCUGUUCUCUCUUUCUCUCCCCCUUGCUCUCCCCUCUCCCAUAUUUUUCCUUUAAAAAAUAUAUAUAUAUAUAUAUAUUUAUAUAUUUAUAUAUAUAUAAAUUGAAAUUGGUAACUGUGGUUACCUGCCAGGCCUCUUUCAGGGAACAAAGUGAGACAGAAGGGUAGCAGGACUGUGGGUUGCCUGAGGGCCUAGGGAUGAAAUCUCACUUCUGUGCUAGAUGGUCACAACUCUUGGCUAUUCAGUCAUGAGACAGCAAAGGCUUUCAAGGAUCAACAACAAAUUUAUGGUAAAGCAAAAGCAAGAAAAGAUAUGAGGAGUUUCCUGCAAGAGGAUAUUUCCAACAUGAGCUUGUCCAUCCACUGCUGCUGGAAAAGACAAAUUUGCAAAAUUUCAGGCUCUCAAUAGGUCAUCCGGUCUUCCUCCUACAAACAGAAUAUCUGCUCUGGUCCUGACAGUUGUUUGUCUAGUCAGUACUCAAAGAUCACCAUUGAUGGAGAUCAUUCUGCCUCCAGGCAAUCUGUAUUCUAUAUCUCUUUUCCUGAGAGAUUUUUCUUUGUAUGUGUCUUGAAUAUUCUGUGUAGCUGCUACUUGACCUAUUCACUGAGGACAUGGAAAAGAUUUUUUCUUUUUUCAUAAGGAGUUUGCAAGUCAACACACCUGAUGGUUUUUUUUGUUGUUGUUUUUUUGUAUCUUGCAUUUUUCAAUGUGUGAUGUGUACCAAUAAGAGCAAUAAUGGGAGUUCAGAUCUGAAAACAGUGCCUGACUCUACUGUACCAUCAAUUGUCAGCUGUGGAUGCUAAAAGACCUAAAAGUUUGAAGUUCAGACUGGAGUUCAGAUGGUGUAUUUUGGCUGGGGUCCAGCAUUACUAGAAAUCCAUCUUGACGUAGAGAGAGCAGCCGUAACAAGCUGGGCUGAUGGGCUGCCAGCCAGGCUCUUCUAAAGUAGUGGAAGAAACCUGUUUCAUGAGUUGGGUAUAAACUAUGUAACAGAGCCAGAGACAAAAUGCAUCCCAACAUUAAUGUCCAGGAUUACCAGCUGCUCACACAGCUUGUCUGGGGGCAUCCAGAAUGCCAGGAAACGCCUGGUAGCUGUUGUAUAUAGACAUAUUCUGUGAGGCACAAAGAAAUUGCAUCAAGGACUUUCAAACUACAAAACAUCAGAAAAUGCUACGAAAUACUUUUGGAAGUCAAAAACACUUUGAGGAGUAAUCUCGGCCUCAUAGGACAGCAUCCAUGAUGCUGGACACUUGGUUCCCAUUCCAGUUUUUGCCACUCAAGUAUGGAUGCAAAAUACAGAGGCAUAUUGUCUGCUGUCAUAACUCAUCUGCGAAGCAGAUGUUUCUUUUGGGGGAAUUAUUCAUGCUAAAGAUCACACUUCAAAGUAAACAAUAAUUGUCAUUUGUUGCCUGUUAAAAAAAGAAAAAAAUGAAAGCUGGAAAUCAAACUAAUGAGUACAUUUCCUCAAGGGAACAGACAGAACUGGGAAUAUGAUCAUUUUGCAAAGCUUCUGAUAAAUACAUAGGUUGCUCUGAAAGAAAUGCUGCUUUAUUUCUGUGGCAACUACACUGGAUGCAAAGAACACGAUAACACUGAUAGAGCACAUUUUCAGCUACAAAACACUUUUUCAACAUAGUCACCACCAUUAGCUGUGUAUUUUUGCCAACUAUGAAGAGGACUCUGCGUGCUGUGCACAAAAAAUUCUGCACAAGCAGAUGUGACCCACUGUUUCACACCUGUUACGGUGGCAUCACUGCUAGGAAAAUGUUGCCUAUGCGGUCCGUCUGAAUAGAUGGAAGUUGGAAGGCACCAAUUCCAACUGUGUGGUGGGACAGUCCAGCCAAGAUUGUCAAUGUGUUCCAUGGUCUUCAAACAGGUACAGGGCCUGGCAUUACUGGAUUGUGAGAGAAAUGUUGUCGUCUUCUCUGGCCUGACUCUAUUAGUUUGAGCCCCCAGCUCAGUGAGCAUUGUGAUGUAGCAGUCAGGAUCUGCACUCUACCUUAGCUUUGUGAACCCAGUUCUGGAUAUAACAUGUCUCAAUUUACACAGGCCAGGAAGUCUGCAAAGAGAGUAAGCUACAGUAGAUUUUCUGAUGAGCCACUGCUUUACAGCCUCCUGGUUAAGACUUCAUUUCAGGAAGCUAAUAUGACUUUAUAAAAACCAAAAGUAGCUGCAUUCGAACUUACUAUAUGGUUUAUCCCACAGGACAGUUCUCAACUACCUUGAGUCAAGUACAGGAUGAAUGGUGUUCUCUAAGAGUUCAUGAAUAACAUGGGAAACCAGACUUGUCAUAUGGUUCUGGGACUCAGACACUGUGUCUCUACUAAUAAGUUAAAUGGUGCCAAGGAACGUUCCCAGGAGCUGGACCCAGUCUGUCUGUCUGUGUAGCUGCACUGCCAGAGCGAUCCUUUUGCCAUAGAGAUGCAGACCUCUAUUUUGAUAUUUGAUAUUUUGGAUUUGCUGAAUGACCACAGCCAACAAAAUUAUUUCAUCAGCUAGUUUCUGACCUUUAAUAUCUGACCAUAUAUUUUAAAGUGUGAGAGAUACCUAUUUUACAUUUACUCCAGCUCCAUAAGGAAUGCUGUACGGACAGGAAUUCAGCAGAAAAUUUCCACUUAUUUACCAUUUACUGUCACUGAAAUUCAAGAAGUUAUUUCAAAAAAUGAGGAAAAAAUACUGUGAUUUCUACUAUUUGUUUCUUCUUGGAAGUUCCAUGGAUCAUUUAUCAAUGAACAAAAGGCUAAUUAAAAGGCUAGACCUAGUGCAAUUACUUUGAUGAACUUUGAGAGUGGUUGUUUAAUGCCAUAGCCUUCAUUAUGUUAUGCUAAAUAUGUUCUCUGCAAGUUUGCAUCCCAAAGAUGAUGCUGUUUUUGUUGGACUAGCUUGAGGAAAAAUGCUGUAUGUUUGAGCUCUUGGGAUGAGUGUCUUACUUGGAAGGUAGGAAGAAAAUGUUGAUGUUCUCUGGAUUUGUGUGUGUUAAAGCUGACAAUUCAAGACGUGUCUGUGGUAGUUUUAUUCCUUAGCUCCUAACAGAAACCUGUCUCCCUGAGCUGAUUCCAGAUUUAUAAGCACAGUGUGUACAUUGUUACAGCACAGAGCGCAGGAUAAUUAAACAGCUGCUUAGCACUGAGCUCCUUCAUUCUUCAAUAAGCAGAUGUUUUGUCUUGUUGCUGAUUUCAAACAACCCACGAUAACAUACUAUAUGCAUAGCAUUACUCAUAUUUUUAAUAUUUUGGUGCUUUCCUAUCCAAAGAUCAAAGCUCCAUGCCCCAUUACAUGAGGUUCUGCACAGGCCGUUAGCACAGAAGAGAUCUUAAGUGAGUGCCAAUCAGUGCGUCUCCACUGAAUCCAGGGGAGCAACAGCAGUUCGCGCUGGCUGACAUUUCCCUUGCAGAUGUCAGACGAGAUGCCAUGAUUUACAUACCAAUGGCGGUGAGUGGGAGGAUGAAGUAACAAGAGGAGCAGAAAUGUGCAGGGAUGCAGAAGUCGGAGCUUGCCAUUUGCCUUUCUCCUGCAGCUGAACAAUGGCAAUCUGAGUUAUUCAUUCCCAUCCACCUCUUAACAACAGGAUUCGCUUCUGAUGAUAUCUUGUGGCCUUUUGAGUAUGUUAGCAGAGGAACUAGAUUCUUUUCUGUAUUUGCCUUCUGUGUUAUCAGACACAAUAAGCAAUUCCCAAAAGGCAGAUGAGGUGAAUAAAGCAAAGUAUCAGGUUAAAUGAUGUAUAUUCCUUAUCCAUUUAGGAAGGUGUUUAUGCAUCGUCGUUUUAUGCUUUGUAUUUGCUGGAUUUAUGAGUGGCAUUUGUGUGCAGAGCCAUGAAAGCAGAUGGAGCCCCGAAGGAGGAGCCCUUCUAUCCCACCCAGUUUGUGGUCUCCCUGUCUGCUGCUGAAGCUGCUUCCUGGGGCAGUGCGUUCAGCUGCUAAGAGCGUGUAAAUAGAAGGAGAAAUAUUAUAAAUGUCAGGAAGUGGCAGCCAGACUGUUCCAAGGUUGCGUACUGUGUGCUUGUGAAGCAAGAUGGCCUGACUCCAUUAUCAGUGUUGUCCAUCAAACGCUGAUUUCCAAAGGUCUGUAUCUUCCACUUACUGAUAUUUCCAUUUGUGUACUUCACUGGGAAGAGUUUCAGACAAUGUUGAUAAUUUUGGACUUCCUGAUCCUUAGGAGGAAUAAAUUUGCCCUGCUAGGGAACGCACUGUUCCUAUCCCUAACUGAGUUAUACGCAUUCGUAUGUAAUCUCAGUAUAACUAUAAUGGGAAUACAAUUUAUACUUUAAUUUAUGCUUGUUCUCUGGUUGGGAAAAUGCCCAUGAACUGCGAGGAAGCAGAUCUGCUUGUUCUAUAGAUAAACUGUUGUUGUAUGUGGUUCACAUCCCGCAUUUUUAUGUAUCGUUCCAAUUCCUCAGCUGUUUCCAAUUCAUGUACCUUUCUGAAAGUGAAUGAAGCAGCUGUGCCAAAUUCAGAGCCUGGCUGAGUCCAGCUUCAUGUCUGGAGGAGCUGAAUUUCCCAAGGCUGGCGCUUCACCAUUAACUGAUGCAGAAGAAAUUAGAAUUCCUCUUUCCCUUUCACAUAAUGGCAGAAUUCUAAAAUUAUUGUGUAACAUGCCCUUCCUCCCAUUACACGGUCUUCAUUCUGUUCACCAUUAUUUUUAAUAGACCAAUUUUCUCUCUUGCUUUUCAUCCACCGAGUCUUUACUAUUAUUAUCAUCAAAGUGUCUGUGGGCUGCCAGCAUUUGAUAUUUCAUUUCACUGAUUUAAUUAUGUCUGCAGCCUGUUCUGGGGCUGUUUAUUUUUAUAGAUCUCCGAAUCCUCUUCUUUAUCAAAUUGUUUACAUCUGAAUCCAUUUGUUCACUGUUUAUAUGUCACUUUGCAAUUGUAUCCUUUUGUACUUUGCAUUUGUUCCUGAGGGGUGUUUUAGUUUGAUCAAAUUUUACAACUUUGCAGGCAGACAACUAAAAGGAGAUCUUCCUAUCUAGGGGUGAAAGGCAGCUCUGGACACAGCUAACACCAUCUGCUUUUUCACUUUAUGCUUCCUGUGGGCAUAUGUGAGCAUGGAGCCACGUCUGUUACCAGCUGUUGGGAACUGACAGCUCAUGGGAAGCUGGCAGAGUGUUAGAUUAAAGGAAGAGAUGUUUUACACACCUUGCUCUUCUAUGUGCAGUUUUCAUAGGGUAUAAAUACAUAGGUAAUGUAGGGAAUAUGUAAACAGGGUGUUUACUGAGCUUAGUUUAGUUUCCAAAGAGUGGAGGUUCUUUGGCUCUGGGCAGCCUGGUCUAGUGGCUGGCAACCCUGCCUGUGAUAGGGGGGUUGAAUAUAGAUGAUCUUUGAGGUCUUUUUCAACUUUUCAACCCAGGCCAUUCUAUGAGUCUGUGAUGCUUUACUGCAGAGGGUUGCAGAAGAGGAUGACAGCUUUGAAUUUUGCUGACUGACCUCCUGUCACUGCAACUACUUUAGUAGUGGUGAUGCACGUAUGCGUGCACGUGCUGUAGUUCUGUUGAGUUUCUUGCUUCUACUAUAAUUAAGAGUCCAUAAAUAAGUGCUUCUAAUGCACUUGACUAGAGAAAGUAAUUGCUAUUUAAAUGGAUAAUUUAUUGUGUGCUAAUUAAAAGCCCAAUAGGUGAGAACAUUUUAAUGAAAUGUAACUUAACUCAAUAAGGAGGUUUUUAAUAAUCAUUAGUUGCCUGAAAUAUACCUGAUGCUGCAGUUCUGUAAUGACAAGCUCUAAUUGAUGUUUUUAACAUGUAUUUAUUGUGGAUAAAUUGCUAUUUUGUUGUAUAUCUCUCUUUCCCUGUCUUUCAAAUGCACAGCUUCCCAGCUGGAGGCCCCAUUGUGCCUUAUUACAGUCUAUUCUUCCCUGCUUUGGCAACCCCUCUUGCUGGUCAACUCAUCUCAGUUACACCCGCAUGAAGCAGGAUGUGAGCAAACAGAUGUGGGGAGCUGCCAGUUUCUACCAAAGAAAAGGUGUUAGCUUUUAAUUUCAGUUGACUAUUAGAACGUACAGUAGAGAUCUGCCUUCUUUCCCUGUUUGACUUACAGUAUGAGGCAGAGAAACCCUCGAAGUGUCCAGGGUUCCAAGCACUCAUCUUAGAGCAGAAUGAUUAUGCAAAAAUGGUAAACCUCAGUGUCUCUAGGUAAUAAAUUUCACUUUCAAAGAAGGAAGCUUAAGAACAGGCUGGAAAGUGAAUGUGCCUCACACAAUGGAGCAGCGUGCCAGCUUUGUUUGAAUUGAGCAACCUGGAAGAAUCUGAGCUGGGAACAAGUAGCAUCUGAUUUAAGGACUGAGAGAGUAGAUGGCUGAUUUUCUUGGCAAAAAUAGCAUGAGAAAGCUGUACUGACCUUUCCAGGAUGAGAGGUAAUGGCUUAAAUUGCCCCAAGGGAGGUUCAGGUCAGAUAUCAGGAAGAAUUUCUUCUCAGAGCAAUGAGGCAUUGGCACAGGCUGCCCAGGGAAGUGAUGGAGUCACUGUCCCUGGAGGUGUUCAAGAGAAGCAUAGAUGUGGCACUGAGGGACCUGGUUUAGUGGACACGGGGGGAAUGGGUUCGUGGUUGGACUGGGUGAUCUUAGUAGUCUUCUCCAGCCUUUAUGAUUCUAUGAUUCCAUAAUUUCACUGUGCUUUUCUGGUGUCUUUUUCCAGCACUGGGCAAUGACUGUUCUUAUGUUUCUGAGAAUUUAAAGAAUGGUCUUCUGAGACUGAAAUGCACAGGACGUAGAGCGGAGGCUGUUAGUAGCUCUGGUGGGAUGGGGUAACCAUUAAAAAGUCACUGCACUUUCCUGGGCCUCCUUUUCCCCCACUGUUAAAUGGAGAUAACUACAUGUUUCCUUCAUGAAGCCAUUUGGUAUGUCUUGUUGAAAAAUCUAUAUAUAAGUGUUCAUCAUUUUUGUCACUCAGGCACUGAUAUAGGAAUUUCUGGAGCACUCCUACAUGUUGAGAAUCACACUGAUACUGUGGAUGAGAAUAUUAAAUUCUGGUGCUGAACCUGGCUAAUUUGAAAAUGACGUAUUUUUCUAGAGUGAUGCCUCAGAUGCAUCUUAUAUAAGAAAAUGAAUUACAUUUAUAGCUAGAAAGGACUGCAGGAUUUUAUGAUCAUCUCAGCACUCCUGUAUUUAGUAAAUUAUCUUGUGUUUGAUUAUGACAGGGUACCUCUUGGCUUAUGUCAAAGUUCUUGUUUCCUGGAGUUUUUCCUGUUUCCUGGAAACUAAACUCUGGUGGAAAGCAUUUGUUACUUUGGUUGUUUUUUUUUCUUUUUCUUUUUUUGGUCUGAUUUGUUUGUUUGGGUUUUUUUUUUUUUUUUUUUUUUGUCUUUUAAGUCUAAACAACCCAUUGGACCUACAGCUCUUUGGUUCCUGCCACUGAAAGGAGAUACCCAUAGAUUAAAUAGUUAAAUAUGAAACCCCCUUGGGGUUUGAUCUGAUGAAGAUGAUGCUUAUUUAGAGAAGGAGCAAAUACUUUAACAAGUACUAUCCUGAUGAACUAUCUAACUUGACUUCUGAGAAGUAACUAUUAAAUGGAGAGAAGAAACCAUGAAAUGUAAGAGCGAGUUUGAAUGCUGGUAUCAUAAUCUGAUCGUAGUCAUGCAUCAUAAUUAAAUGUUAAUUUAAUUGUGGGCUUCGGAUGUCAUGUUUGGAAUUCUCAGUUUCAAUCCAGUUUUUAUUAAACAAUGAAGAACCUUCUGAAGGAUUCAGAAUAACAGUUCAACAAAUCAAGUCAACAAACAGAGAUCCACUUUAAGGUAAGAAAGAGAAAAUAGUGGGCAAAAGCUGAUAGAGUGCACUGGAUGCAGGCAGAAUAGUCAGAGGAAAACCAAUGGGGCAUGAUUUGGAGAGACAGUAUCUUUCACACAACCAAUAGCAUUUGGAGAAAAUGAACAAGCUUUCAAGCACUUAAAUGCUUCUACAGGUCUGGCAAAGAAAACAAAAAACUUGAAGCUUUGUCCGUCCUGUAAAGAAAUUAGCGUUUAACUUAAGAUAAUCACCUGGACAAUUAGGGAGACAAAAAGGUGAACUCCUUAGCCAUAACGGAGCAUCUGGGGAUACAAACAAAAAGUCAAGAGUUAAUGUGCCCCUGCAAGCCAGAGAGAGAGGGAGUGGGAGCUUAGAAAGAGCUCUUGGGAAAGGUGGGUACCACCAAACCGUUGCCUCUGCUGGCUCCACGGGUUUUAAUGCCUGGGAGAACUCUGAAUUUAAUGUCCCAAAUAUUUGAGUAGUGUCCUCUGGGGCAACUGGUACAUUAGGACUCAGAAAAUUAAUUGCCAGACUUGCACCUAAUUGUACAACAAAGCAGUAAACCAAUUCUGGAAAACCACAGUGAGGACUAAUUCAGAAGUGUCUUAAUACAGAAUACGAAGAACGUUCUUUCCUCCUCUCAGCUCCAGAUUCCUACCCCAAAUGUUAAAGAAGAAACCUUAAACUUGUCUGAAUUACAAGCAAAACUGUCAGCCUCCCUCAAAAUGGGGGAAGAAAGUACUUCUGAAAUGCUUAUGCAUUAUAUAACAUGUACCCAUAUAUCAUUUAUACGGACAUUAGCAACUUGUGUUAUUUCCUCAUUUUGGAGGUGAUGCAUUAAAAGUGAAAAUGCCACUACUGCCAUUUUCUUCUUACAUAAAGCAGAUUUGUGUCUACAGUGCCUGUGUGCAAAUCUUCUCCAUGAUUUUCAAAAAGCUGAUUGAAGGCCAUUGCAGUAGCUUGGGUAGGGUGGCCAAACAGAUGAAGAUGGCAUAUAAAGAACCUAGUUGGCAGCAAUGCCAAUUUCACACACAUGCCCUGCCUUGAUUAAAGCAGAGAUGUUUGCAUAUGUCUUGUGUCCAAAGGCAUUUUUGAUGCACAUCUCCUGCUGAGCCAGCAAAGCUCCUCUCACGCCUAUUGCUUUUGCAUAGCAGAUACACAUUAAUGGAAGCAGUCAGAGCAUGCAUCUACCUGGUUCAUAAUUUGCACAUCUCUGGAAAUAUCCUUAAAAUCCAGACAAAGUUUAAAAAGAAAUAGUAGAGAGUUGCAAAAAAUCCAGAUUAACAGUUGAAAGUUGAAAUAGUUUAUCCUCUUACACAGGGGUAUUAAUUACAAAGCGUAUCUUCAGUCUCAUUUGCAGAGUUUCCCUUUCGCUAUCUGGAACCUGAAGCAGUAGAUUAAUGAGAGAGGCUGGGAAGGUGCCACCUUGUAAGGAGCUGCAUGGAAACGAACCACUUAAAAGACACAAACAAGUUUUAUUGCAACAGUCAAACCUAGGAACCAUGUAAUGUCCUACUAUAGAAUAUACUGUAACUAAUGAACUAUUUACACACAUUUAUUGUGCUGUUGUGUUUUGUUUUCAGAUGUCCAUAUGUAAGAAAACAUUUUGAAUUUUCUGCUAAAGAUAUCCCAAUUAACAUCUAAAGGAGUUUUUUCCCCCUUUUUAUAUUGUCUCUGGGUUAUAUGGGUGCUGCGAGGCUGCUCAGCCCAUUCUGUAGAGAUUCCUGCAUAAAUGUUAUUAAUAGAGUGCAGGAGAGGAUGAUAGAUAUGAGUCUUAUAGAAAUGAAGCUAAUACUGAGACUCACUGUUUUCAUUUCCUUGCGCUUUUGCAUUUCAAUUUCAUAGCACUGAAACUCUUGGUGGGCAUAGUGUAGAUGGAUGGGUUGAUGGUGGAACUGGAAGAUCUUGGUGGUCUUUUCCAACCUUUAUGAUUAUUUGACUCUGUGACUUCAGAGAGGACAAAACACCACUCCUGUUCACAACGAAGGACCCACCUCCGAUAGCAAGGCUUUGCCACCACCGCGGGACACCGAGUGCCGUGAGCGGUGCUGAACUGAGCGAUGAGAAGGAGAUGGCUGCACACAUAGCAUGGAAGCUUUGACUUUAUGGUAAGUCAGAUCUCUUAAUAUUGUUUUACUGUAUUUUUUGAGCUUCAUGUUUAAUUCAGGUCAAAUCUGAUCUACUAAACAGAGCUGUUAUGUAGCGCACAUACCAGAUACACGAAGCGCGGUUUUAGCAUAGCUCUGACCUAGUUACUUCACGCAAUGUUGUCUGAAAGCAAAAAUUGAAAUCCCUUAUCUAAACAAAAAUGAGCCUUUGUUCUCCUGCUUAUUGUGGCAUUUUGCGUGUAUUUGGUUUCAAAGACUGAUAAAGUUUACUAUUCUGAAUCUUUCAUGGGCAUCAUAAAGGCUUUUCCCUUUUGGUAACCAACCCAACAGCGCUCUGGAGAAAUGCAUGUCUGCCAUUUGAGAUAUAUGGAGCAAUCCUGACAAAUCUGAUGGCUGAAAUUACUUUUUAUUAUCUUUUUAAUAAUACUUAUCAGCUAGAAUUGGUGAAUAUUAACAAAACAUUAAAAAUAGCUUCAUGUGUUUAAGGAAUUACUCUGUUUCUGAUGCUGCUGUCAUAAACAACAGAUGAGGUACUGGCAGGAAAGAACAGGAAAACUGAAAACUGAGAUGUUGAGAUGUUGGAAGGACUCUUAGAAUAUAGCUGUGCUUCUCUUUCUAAAAUGGUUCCACAUUCCCACAUGCAUCUCUUCAUAUAUAAGUAUCUGUCUCUGUAUGUAUGCAUACUAAAAGAUUGUGAAUACGAGAGGAAAAGAGAAAUUAGACUGCGGGAAAAAAAAAGUGUAAAUUUAAAUUUCAAUAUACAUUCUGAUUUUUAAAAGUAGGCCUAAAAAUCCAUAGAACAGCUACAGGGAUUUUCCAAGUUUGUAAUCAAACUUGUAUUUCAGUAAUAUUUUUUCAUUAUAUUUUGAUUGUAGAAAUCAAAAUUAGAAACAGGUUCUGAUGAUUGUGGCUGAAAUGGGAAAAGUGACUGUAAAAUGAAAGUAAUGAAAAAUGAAAACGAAUGUUCUGCCUUCAGCCCCCCCCCCCCGCCUUAGCUAUCAAGAAAAUUAAUGUUUAAUUAAAAACCUAAUUUUAGAGAAAUAGUUGUUUUUUGUUAUAAAAAGAUGAUGACAAAUUGUGAAAUAGCUGUAUUAGUAAGCGCUACAAGGCAGUUAUUAGGCAAAUAUCACCAAGAUGGCUAGGCAGUGCUUGUUACUGACUUGGCAGGGAAAAUGCUAAUAUCCUAAUGGAUUGAUUUAAGAAGUGCCAGGUAAUUUGUAACACUUCAAGGAAGUCCAGUGAUUUCACUUACAAGGAAUAUAAAUGGGAGCUGGAACGAAUUGCUAAGAUAGGCAGAAGGAAUAAGGAUUCAGUCAUUCCUGUGAGGUUAGUCAUUGGGAUUCUGCAGUCAUCACAGAAACAUCUGCUGCUCAGCAGGACAUCAGGGGUGCACCACUGCAAUGUAAUCCUUUCCAAUAUUUCUAGUCUGUGCUCUUUGUUUGGACAGGCUAUUUCCCAUCCUGUUUUCUCAUCGUGCAUCUUUCCCUGCUUCUUUUUGAUACCACUGGAAACAUAACACUUAUUACUCCCACAUAUCAAAUUCUCAAAACUGAAACCAGAGCAUGCGUCCAUCCCUUUUAUGUAGUGUUUAGCGUGUCAGGCUUUUGAUCACUGUUAGAUAUAAAGACUUCUGGGGACCUCGUCAGACAGCAUGGUUCAGAUGUGUACAGGAUCAGACAUACCAUGGUGGUGGAACAGCUGUUUGAAAAGUAAAAGUGGGAAAAAUAGCUGGCAUUACAUGAUUCACUUAUGCAAGGUUACUUGUAUGAUACCAGUCAACCUUUUCUGUAUUUAUCUGCUUUCCAAAAUUGCAUGUAAUAGGGACAGUCAAAGAGUAGAACAUAAGAGAUUGCUGCUUCUGCUGGUUGGACUGAAACCAGUGUUUACAAAGCGGUCUGUGGAGAGACAUCAAAACCUUGCCUUGGGUGAUACACCUGAAUUCCCAGUCCCCUCUUGUUCCCAGGAACAGUAGCAAAAUAUGUCUGUGGCCUUCCCUCUUACUCCUAGCCACGGGCUCCAGCAUCUGAUGUUAUAGAUGGUAUCGGAGCUUGGACAGGGUUCUCUGAAACUUCAUCCCUUCCUGAACUUUCUUCAUGAACAUCAACCAGAGAAGAGUGAAACACUGCCUAUGAGUGUUUCAUCACUUGAAAGGCUGAACAACUGUUUCCAAUUCCUUGCCUUACCAAAGUCUUCUCAGUGAUGACUUUAUUCCCUCUCCUUUUGAACAAGGCCGAGUGGUCUCUUUGAAUCUAGUUUUAUUUAAACCCAGAACGUGAGUGGAAGCCAGGUUGUCUUAACUACUUUUCCUUGACUUCCUGCUCAUUCUUCCUUCUGUAAUUUGGAGAUGUGUCUGUAUUGGAUAUGGAAGGAUAUAGAGUAAGGGCAGACUUCUUAGGCUGCUGUCAUUGAGAUUCUCCUUUGGCUUCUAGUAUUUGUGGUUAAUACUUAGAAAUCAGUCAAGCUGGAUUUUUUCACUUCAUGUAUGAUUAUGGUAGGCAUAAUUCUGCUGUCACUCAUGCAAGAAUAAAUGCUGAAACUAAUGGAGUUACAUGAAAGUAAAACUGAUCCAAAUGAGAAGAGAAUCAGGCCCCCUACGGAUACGAGAUCAAAUUACUACCACACUUUAUUUACACUGAAACUCCUUCAUACCAUUCUGACAAUCAAAAAUGAUUUUAAAUUGGUGGAACAGUGAUAUCCACUCACUUUUAGAUGCUAUUAUGCUCCCAGAGGAGUGGUAAAGUCUCUAAUGUAUGUGUGAAUAAAAUUCCCUGUAAAGAAAGGAGAGAAAGACAGCAGGUCCUGGCACUAGCAUAGCCCUCCCUGCCAUUGGGUACAUCGCUUUGGACCCCACUGCUCCUUUCCUGCAUCAGAAAGAGCACCAGUACUCUGAUGCCUGGGUACUGCUCAGCACCUGGGGAAGCAACAGUAAUUUUGCUUCCUUGCUUCUUGGCCCCUUGGGAACUUUUGCUCAAAGGACUCUUACUUUGGUCAUACUUUCAGUCUUGCAGCAGCACAGAUGUGCACAGUUGUCUUUGGGAAGGCACGCUCAGGGAGAUCACAUUUCUGAUCUGUUUGCUAAUAAGUGCGUAAUGGGAGGCAGAAUAUUUCUUUCUCAUGUUGAAGAGUCUCCAGUUAAAUAAUUAAUUGAUAUUGAAGUGGGUCCAAUUUAUAUUGGAUUAAACAAUAGUGAAAUGUAUUCCCUCGAGUGGAAAGCAGUGCAUUGUGCAUAUCUAUAUCCAUCUUGCAGCAUUCACUGCAACGCAGGAGGAAUACUGUAUGAUUAGACUGCAUCUAAAAUACAGAAUAAAGGCACCAGAAUCGAUCUGCUGCCUUCGUCACAUAGUCAGUCGUUGGCCAACAGGGUUUGCUGGGUCUGCUCAGAGCCAGCACAGUUGGAUGAGGCAGGGAGGAAGCUCUUAGCAGAGCACUGGGAGUCUCAGCUGGAAUGAGCAUCUGCUCCCUGGUUGCUCUUGUGAUUCUUCUUGGCAAGAAGCUAUAUAAUCAGCUUUCUGGUAAAUUCUUCCAAAUCCUUCUUUGCUUUGACUCUGUGUAGAAAACUACAUAACUCUCGGGUAACUUGUAUUGCUAUGAUGAGUCCUGAAAUUUGAUGUUAAAUGAAAUGUCAGAUAAUGAAACUGUAAAUCUUGUCUUCUUAAAAGUGACUGAGUGAACUGCUGAAAAUAACCCAUCAUCUUCUUGAGGAGCAGCCAGGUUAGAUGAUGAUAAUGGUAUUUCCCAAACAGACAGUGACACUGAUUUUUUAUAUGUGAUAUACUGAGACCCCAUCUCUGACCUGUAUGCAAGAUGACGAAUGAAAUGGAUUUAAGUAAUAACAGAAAAUCUGACGAUAUAUUUAAGAUGCUUAUUGUUGGCCUGUCGCCUUAUGGAGCCUUUCUAAACCCAGGGGAUCACCAGAAUAGAUAACUAUGAUGCACACACAUCAUAGUACUACUUCCAUAAUGUGUCUGAAAAUGCUGUCGUUUUUAACACUGCAAAUCAAUGUUGCUUAAGUAUGAGAGGGACACUGAAAAAAAAAUUAAAUCUGGAUAACAACAUGGAAAUCUAAAUAUUUGAAGCAUAAUUAGCUGGUAGUAUUUUAACAAACUCUCUACAGAAUAGGUAGAAAAAAACUGUUUACUGAGCUCAGCAUUAAAAGCUAUGCUGUAAUUUAUUAUUUGAAAAUGUGGUACUGCAUACCUCUGAUUUUAUAAUGUAUUGACUCAAAACACAGACUGUCAAACAUUUCAAGAUUAUCCAUGUUUGCAUGUCAGAUUAUAUUUUGGGGGAGCACAGCUUCUAUUUGUUCUUAACUCAGCUGAUGAUUGUCUCAGAUUUCUGCCAUAUGCUGCACGUCACAGGUGAGUAUUUUACUGUCUUAAAAUUUGACAACUCUGUAUCCAGUUUAAUAGUUCUGUCAUCUCAGCAUUGCCAUUAGCACUGAAUUACAACGGAGGAUAUUUAAACAUUGGAUUAGGGUGUCAAAUAUUUGUUAAAUAUCAAACAACGGGGGUAGACAUUAUAAAAAGAGUCAGUGAUGCUUUAAAAACAUCCAUCAGUCAACAAAGGUAUAAAAACUGACUCAGUGACUAAUUAAACAAAGUUUGCUUGAUGUUUAUGUUUACUUGUUAUACUGCAGUUUUAUGCAUCUAUCUUGCUGUGGAUUUUAUGCAUAAUACACACACACUGGCCAAAUUCCUGUCAGUUGAAAAAAGGCACACAGACAAUAUAUUUAAUGAACAGUUUGGAGUUUACAGAAAGAGGAUUCAGGAAGGACAGGAAUAUGGUUUGGGACAUAAAGUGCAUAUUAUCUGGCUUUCCGAUGUGGUUUAUGCAGAAUAGAGGCAAGAUACAGUACUGUAAAAUGUUAAUAAUGUUCAGCUCUUUUGAAACCUCAUUCUGGUCCUGCUGAAAGUAAGCACUCACCCUCAAUCAGAAACACAGGAAAAAUAAGAGGUUAGCUAGAUAAAUACAAUGAAAAGCACAGCCUUUUAAACAUCAAAGUCAAAUAAAUACAGUGAAAUGAUAGCAGUCAUUUAAUUUCGUCUCUCUCCUGCUAUAAUAUCAUCAGCCCAUCAAAGCCCUGAAACACAGGUGAAAUGUAAAUCCUCUUAAAAAAAAGGGAUAAUUCAUAUGCUUGAAAUUAUACACUUUAUUACAUCUGAACCACAGCUCUAAUGCCCAUCAUGCAUUAGGAGGCAGUGCUUGUUCUGUUUAUUUUCACACUAUGAUUUUUAACUGAUCCUGAAAGUUUAACUCCUGUGAGUGAGCAUUUGUCUCAUGGAAGCAGUUCCUCUGAUAUGUUCAAGUUACUAACCCAGCUGGACUUGAUGAUCCCUGUGGGUCCUUUCCAGCUUGGGAUAAUCUAUGAUUCUAUCAUUUGCUUUGCCUCUGCUAGAAACAGUUUUCCUGCCUAUUGCUCCCAAAGCUUCUAUGCAAGGAUUGGCCUCUUCAUUCAUGGCAAUGCCGUGCUGAUUGGAAAACUUGCAGCAAAUGGCAGAAUCUUGCACAUGGUCUUUGUCUAAUCAGCUUCAAGGAGACUCUUCACUAACUUUGUCAAUGAAAACUAAACGUUAGCUUAGUCUCCAGGCUCUCUGGGCACUGCAGUCAGCUUUAUAAGAUUCUAACUUCCUCAACAUAAAGUGGAAGUGGAGAAUAGGAACAUGCUGUAGUUUAAUCCAGCAGCAGCUCAGCACCAUGCAGUACACUCACUGCCCACCCCUCCCUGGGAUGGAGGGGUGAGAAAAAUGGAGGAAAAGAAGUAGAAGUUGUAGAUUGAGAUAAAAACUGUUUACCAAGACAGAAAAGAGAAAUAAUAGUAAGGAUAAUAUGAUAAUAAUAAUAGUAAUAUGAUAGUAUUUACAAAUCAAGAGAUGCACAAAGCAAUUGCUCACCACCUGCCAACCGAUGCUCAGACAGACCCUGAGUUGUGACUGACUUCCCCAGCCAACUCCCCUUGGUUUCCUUUAUGAUGUCAUAUUGUAUGGAAUAUCCCUUUGGCCAGGCAGGGGCAGCUGUCCUGGUUCUGUCCCCUCCCAGCUCCUUGUGCCCAGCAGCCCUCACUGGCAGGGUGAGAAACUGAAAUGUCCUUGGCUUUGUGCAGCCACUGCUCAGCAACAACUAAAGCAUCGGUGUGUUGUCUACAUUGUUCUUUUCCUGAAGCCGAAACUUCAAAACACAGCAUCAUACCAAACACUAUACAGAAAAUCAACUCUGUCCCAGAUGAAAGCAGGACAGAAACAGAAAGCACAAAUCAGAGCUCAGUGUCAGUGCAGCCUCCUCUCUUCUGGGCACUUUUGGUACAUAUGUGAUGAGGUUAUCAACCUCAAAAUUCAAUCUGAAGCCAGUUGAUAUGAGUCAGAGCUGGAGCUGGCAGCACGGUGGGACAAUAUAUUUCCAAUUAGCAAAUAUUUUAGUGUGUGCUGGCGUAUCCUUCAGUCAGUUCUCCCAGCCCUUCUUGUUUACUUUGCUGAGGAUUGUUCUUGUGAGGUUUCUCUGAACAGAUUUCACUGCUGGCAGGCAGGUGAUGGAAAAGAAGCUUCUUCUGUUCUUCUAUUUACAUACUGUGAGUAUUAAUCAAAAGAUGUAUGCAACAGGGGCCUGCAUCCCUGAGUUACAUUUCCCAGAUGUGGCUCCAAUGGGGGCUCCAAUGGGGACUCCAAAAUCACAGCAGAAGCACCAGGGCUUUUCCUUGAGAAACAACAGCUUUGGCUUCAUUAAUAUGGGAAAAUUUUUCUUGGGCCACUUCUGCAUUUGAGCAUCUCUAACAAACUGGGAGACACUGGUCAGUCUCACGUUUUUACUUCGUGUUUUUCCUCAUAUGACUCUCCAGCUCAUUUUUCUGUUUUACUUUUUAAGCUGCUGCUUUGGCUUUACCAGGAGAGUCUGAACGCUUUAUUGAUUAAGCUGCCUGUUUUUCAGUUUCAUCAUAUUCUUCAUUUGAAUGUGUAUCUGUUUUGCUGAAUCAGCUGUGUAUUGAAAUGCUUGAGGAUUCAACUACUGUUUGAGCUGCAUCUUUGGCUUAAUCCUCUUGUGCUUUUUUUGCUUACUCAGCUGGCUACUAAACCAAGUAAUUUUGGGGGUGGAGGGAUUGCACUGCCAAUUUCAUUUCUGACUGGGAAACACGUACUCUAAAAUGAGUUCCAGUCAUUCAUGACUGCAACUGUAUAUUGUUUAAAUGAACUGCCUUUUAAAGAGUGAAAAAAAGAACCCCUUCCCCUUCUCUAAAGAGAAGGGGAAUUUACUACUUACUCUUUCUUUUAAUCUUUCCUUUACUUGCAAUGUUUGUAACCGAGUGUCAGAAACACUUGGAGAGUUCCCAACCUGGAAGACAAACAAAUGAUUGGGAGCACAAUCUGAAGCCAAGUGUGUGAGGUGACUCAGUUUAGAAUUUAAGAUCUGUUCAUUUGCUCUUUAGCAUCUGUGAAGGCUGGAAAGCCAAGUACACAGCCUAGCAAAGGGAACAUAGGUUGAGAUUCAGCUGCAUCUCAAGCAGGCAAUAGAUUGCUAUGACAGUAGCUCCUCUCAGAAUUGAGACUGGGAUCACAGGUAACUAUUUUCACGUGAUGGAGAUCCCAAGCCCUAAGGGGUGCAGUGUAGUGCAAACCCAGAUACGCUACCUGGCCGAAGAAACCAUGGCUUUCUCUAUCCAAUUCCUACUUUUGGCACUGAGCUCCUGAUCAAGACCACAGAAAUGCUGCAGAAGAUGUAUCUGGCCCAAGACUAAUUGGUUUACCUCUUGGAACAGACUGCCAGUUGUAGCACACAAACAGGCAACUGAUACCGUUGACCCUGGCGAGAAGAGCAAGGCCUGUUGCCAGCAAAGGUACGAUUCUGCAGCUCAAGAAUCUGUUUUAGAAUCCUUCCUUCUUCCUCAUCCUCUUUCAUCAUCAAGCAAAACCUGGAAGCACCUGGAAUCAGCACUGGCUUCUGCAACUCUUUGAUGUAGGCGGCAAUCCAUGUACCCUCUGGGAUUUCUAUGUGGAUCAUACCGAUACAAAACUGUUCACCUUGAACUGGAUGCAAGACACCAUCAGAACAGAAUUGGAAGCUGCUUUGAUGUUUAGCUGUGUUCAGUUCACCUAGAAAGAGCACUGAAGAGCUGCCAAAGGCAGACCAACUGCCAGCCAGACUGCCUGGCUGGCAAAGCCUCUCCUCCUUCUCUGCUUCCCCUGCUACCUGCAGCCUGGGGGUGACCUGAUGUGUCUCAGCUAUGCAGCACACAAGACAGAGGCAGCAAAUCCAGCAUCCAAACAGGGAUUCCAGUAACUGGCUAAAUCUGCUUGGUGAGCUGGCUGCCAGCUGACACACUCAUGGCCAUCUGCAUCUGGACUGUCCUGACAGUGCUCCUUCACAGCAGGUCCCGAUGCUUGCGAGAGUAUUUUCAACUCACCUUGCUGCCCCUUUCUCCUCUCUGGAGAGGGGAGACCCUAAAACCUUGCAGGAGCUCUCUCACUGACAUCAAAAUAGUCCCCAACAUAUCUACUUCCUCAGGAGUCGGAAGAAGUUUGUGCAACUCGGAUCCUUUAGUUGUCAUGCACUGUGGCUAGCAGAAGUUCACGUCCUUCCAUUCUCUUCUCAUUUAUGCCUCUUUUUCCUUUCCCUUUUCCCUUUCUUCUCUUUCCAUAUCUCUUUCCCAUUCUUUUUUUUUUUUUUUUUUUUUCUUUCCCCUGAGCCAUGUAUCACAGUUCAGGUCUGUGUUUGCAAUAGCAGCUCUGGAAGACCUUCCUUAUCCUCAUAUGAUUUCUGAUUAUGACCUUUCAUUACAGGAUUUUUUUUUUCUGCUGAAUAAUUUACUUGUGAUAUUUGGAAAAUGGACAUGAUAAAGAAGAACUGUUAGUGGUAAAUCUCCUGUUCUCGCUGUAGUGCACAACAAUACUGUUAGCAGUAAAAAAAAAAAGACACCUGAGAGGUUCUCAUACAGAGCUUUUCACAAACUCCGUAUACAGUGCUAAAUGAGCUUCUGUGCAGGCAGAGGACUGCAAUGGCAUUUCAGUGAAAUUUAUCUCAGUGGCUACAUCUGCCUCUUCUGUUCAAGUGGUUGCAAAUCUGUGAAACAGUUAUUUGAAAUGCUGUCACCCUCUUCAUCUGGGCCCAGCAAAAGACUGUCAUUUAACAGGGAAAUUCAAUUAAACUCAAAACAAUGCAAAUAAUAAUAAUAAUAAUAAUAAUAAAAACAGCCUUUGGAGAACAAUGCAAAACUACAAUGAGAUUUAACUAAAGGGAAGUAUAGUAAGCCAGUGAGCAGGAUGUCCAUAACUGACUGCUACUUAUUGUGUCCCUGCUUUAGGACCCAGCUCUCAAGGCCCUUACUAUCAGCAGGAAGAUCCCCAGCAGUUUCUUACCUUCAUGCUCCUUUAAAAAAUACAGUAUCAUCUUUUUGUACCAACAUUUCUAUUCGAUAGAUAGAUUUAUAUUAUUUCAAUCCUUUCAUUGAAAAAUCAGAAAUUCCCCCCAAACCUCCCUCUGGGAGAGACAUGGGACAGGAGAAAGCUCCCUGUGCUGAGAAUGUAAAGGAGAUGGAGGAAAAAACACUGCUGUUCUGUCUCAGCACUGGAAGUGUCCCCAGAAGUGGUUUUGCCUUUUAUUAGCAGCCCACAGAGAUUAGAGCAGCCAGAGCUGUUUGCAAUCAGCCCUCAGAGACCUUUGCUCCCUUGAGCUGAGCUGCAACCAGCAUCUAGCCCUGAUGUAACCUUGGUAGACUGAAAUGACAUUGAAGUGAAGGACUCUUUAAUUUUCUCUCGCCUUUUUUUUUCCUCCCUCUCUUUUUCAGUGUAUUUAAUACUGAUGUGGAUUAGAAAGCCUCUGAUGUAAAGGAGAGGGGGGCUCAAGUGGCAUCAGUGCUAUCAAUUUGUCUGUAACCAGUUCUUUAAGUGAGGCUUUACAGUAAGCCAGCCUGGAGCUAAGCGACUCUGCCAUCAUCAGGCUCAAUUCUGCAACACAAAAUACAGGAGGGACCAUUGCAGCUGCUCUUCGAGCCCUGGAAAUGCUGCUGAGAGCUGCAGCAGUUCCCUACUGCGGGCAUUGUGCCAGAGAGGCAUCCCAAGUGUUUGUAGCUCUCACAGAAAGCCUUCCUGUGAGACAUUUCCUAUGGAGUGCUGGAAUUUUCUAGAUCAAAACUUGGGGAGGGGGGGAUGAAAUCUGAAGGGAAAGGAAAAAAACACCAAUGCAAAAUCACCUGAGUAAGUUUGGGAUGGCCUUGGCAAAUAAAACUGUGAAGUACUUCCAGGAGACUUCUGCAGAUCACCUUCCAGCUGUAUCCACACUCCUCAUAGAGGAGCAAUUAAAACACAGGUGGGCUGCUUUUCAGGGUCUCUGAAAAUGUUUUAUUCCUAAGGCUAUGCCAGCUAGCUAAGAAAAAAGGAAAACCUGAAUGAAAACAGUACUUAAAAUGUGAGCUGAACUGUCUGAAGCACUCGGGUACAGGAGAAUUUCAUUCAUUUUUGAUGAAAUUAUUCUUUCUGUACUUCAUCCUUGUAAACAGUUGUUCACAAAUGUGCACACUGCCAAAAAGCGAUGACGUGAAUAAGGCGUGUUUGUGAAGUGAAGGACAUUUCUCUCUGCUAAGAGAGGGCUUAUGAAUAUCUGGUAAAGAGGUGUGAUUGUGCCCUAGGCAGGCUGCAGGGUGGGCCGGGCUAGGCCGUGUGUGGCCUACAGACUGUUGGGUGGCCAUGUCUAAGCUGUUAUUACUGCUUAUGUAAAGAGAAAUAAACAUUGGCGAACUAAUGGUAAAAUUCACGGUUUUCAUAUGUUGAACAGAACUCUUCUGUUGAACAGACAGGUUCUGUUACAGCUUGUGUUGUGGGGGAGAAACCAAGGCUCCAGUGAACUGCAUGUAACAGAGCUCUAAAACCUCACUGUCUUCACAGGGCCCAGUGCUAUCUGUGCAUGCUCCAGUCCAUAGGAGCUGGAAACCUCCAUGUCUGGAGGCCCACAGGGGCCUAGUUUUCCUUGUGGUGCUCCGUGCCUUUGUUAUUCCUUCAGCCAGUAUUGGCCCACCCAGUGCAGUGAUGUUUUAGCCCUGCUAUUAAAUAGAGUCCAAAUGCCUGAACGGGCAAAGGAGGCAGGGGACAAACAGCACUGCAUGGAGGCAGGUGAAACAGUCGGCCUACAUGCUCACCACGCAUGAUGCUGCUGGGGGUUUACCAUUUCAAUGAGUUUCCUGGGCACGACUGAGAUCUGAUUUCCAUUCAAGCACAGUGGGAAAGCACAAGAAUAAAAACAUGCAAGGAGAAGAAAGACAGAGGAGGAGAAAUGUCUCCUACAGCCGCACAUCCCCACCUUGCUACCUGUAGCUGUUAUAGGUAGAGCUCUGUAUGAGGGGUGAACUUUGGGGUGACCUUGUGUUGCUGCUCAGCUUGAGCCUUAACAGCAGCACUGGAAGCUGCGUCAUUGGGCUCUUCACUUGUCAGGAUGAAGAGCUCACCUCUGCAACAGGUGAGGUUUAAGCUCCUGAGUUUCACUGUGCAUUCCCUUCCCCUCUCUCUCCCACUGCAUGUGUCCCUCCUUCCUGGAAAUGCCUCACAUGAGGUGCGAGUCUUUAAUAAUGCUAGAACACAUAAAUAAGAAUAAAGCUCCCUACCAACCAUCAGUUGUCUCCUUCCAUGACCAGGAUGGAUGUAGGCUAGAAUUUUUGCAGCCCUGUGGGAUCAAAGAGAAAGACUUAUGAAAGAUUAUGAUUGCUGUAAUAAAUGCAAAGACAACAAUACGUGCAAAAAAAAAAAAAAAAAAAAAAAAAGAAGAACAGCACCCUUUCUAGAGGUCUAACUGCUCAAUGACUGAGAUGAGUGAGCUGGAUCCUCCCUCUUCCAUACAAGCAGCCUACAGCUACUGCUGAGGGUGUUGCUGAUGCCUUAUGGCACUUCUAUGUACAGUAUUUUGCACAUAGAUGGUUGCAAAGUUAGGCUUAUAUGCAAGGAAGAGUGCAAGGCAUGUGUACAUGAUUCAGGAUCAGGAUUUUUAUUCCUAGCUGGGUAUUUUCCUGCAGACAGUUCAUUCUUAUACAGGAGUAAAUGUCACAGCAUCAUUACGGUUUUGCAUCCUUGUUUUUCCUGUGGAACUGUUAAAUUGGCCAAAUAUGACAAAAAAAAAAAAAUAAAUCCAGAUCUCCCUUCUCUUUAGGGUAUAUCUGACAUGAAAUGACUCCCACAUCUAUGUAUUUCACUAAUGAUCUCAUGGUUAUAAUUAGCCAACAUUUGUAUUUUUGUGUCCAGAAACUGGAAACCUUAACCAGCUCAUGCUCUGCUUUUUACCCCCAAGGUCUGUAGGGACUUCUAAGGUAUAUGACAGCUAAUGAAGUGAAGGAAGCCUAUUUUCAGAGUAUCAAAACUGUUAAAUAGAGGUUAGCACCUGCACUUGAGGAUUUUCUAUCAGAAAAAGGCUGGAACUGCUGUCUUUUAGAAAAAUAAUUCCUGACUGACUCAGAGCAAGACAGUAAGUUCAGCUAACAAAAUGAAAGAGACCAAGUCUGCAACCUGACUGGUGUGCAAGACUUCUUUUCCUCUACCAGAUGAAAUGCACAAAAUGUAUAACAGCAGGAAACAAGUUCCUACCUAACCUCUAAACCUCUCCUUCAGGUGUCUCCAACUCAGAAAAGCCUGCUUGUGGACCCAAAGCCCAGAGGAGAUACUUGCUAUAACUGCCUAUAAAAGGAGAAUGUGAAAAUCAACAUCAUGGAUUGGCAACACAGGAGGUGCAAUGACAAGGGAACCAGCGCAAUAACAAGGUGCUACAAAGGAAGAGUGCUUACCUGUCUCUGAAGAUGUAGGCUCACAGGGGAAACUCUACAAGGGAGAGCUCUCCAACCAGACACCCUUCUCCCCUGGCAGUCAGCCCUUAAAUGAGGUCUAAGAGAGGGGCAGUCAGGUUCCACCCCUUCUGGUUGUACAGCUGAAUUGCCUUCACCUGUGCUCCCAGGGCUGACCGGGUCCUUUCCCCAGGUGCUCAAUCAGUGGUUCAGGCCAUGACUCAACAGUUCCUAUACACGUGUUUAGCACUAAUUAUUUGCUAAAUUGUUGUAAGAACAAUAGCUGAAUAUACUAGUAUUUCAAAUAAAGCAAGAAUCACAUCUCAAUAUAUGCUAAAAUAUCUAUUAUGUUGAGAAGCUAUUUAUGUAGAUCUAAAAAAUGAAAAGACAAAAAAAAAAAAAGGUUUGAAAAAUGUAAGGAAAAGGAUAAACGUGAUGGUCUGAAUAUGCUGUAGGAGAAAGAGGGGGGAAAUACUUAAGAAAAACUAGAUCUUAACCAGAGUUUAAAUGUGUUCUCCCAAAUACACAAAAUUUCCCUGCAACGAUCCUCUUUUCAUCCUCAGGAGUAAUGUAGUUCAACAGUGCUCAUGAGGAACUUGCAUCUGCACUAUCUGAGCUCUGUUUAAGAACUGAAGAGGGGAAAGCAUCUAAUUAACAAGUGAUGAAACACACUGAAGCAAUGAGGAAAGCUAUUUUCCCAAUGGACGUGGUUCUCUGUCCUGCAGAGCUGAUGUUUCCCUAUAGAUAUGUCCUCAAUUGCUGUAUUCAAUUCAAAGAGAAAAUAAAGUUUGUUCGUAAGAUUUAUCCAGGCUGUAUUUUCAAGCAACUUACAGCUUGCCAUAAGGAGUUGUUUUGAUGCUGACUUACCUCACCUGGCCUAAAGAUAUGACAGAAGUUUCCUUCACAGCAGUUGGCAUCAAAGGAGUUGUAAGGACAUUCAUUGUGUUUCAAGACCCAAGCAAGUGGUAACAACAUAAUGCGUAUAUUUGAUUUCAUCCAGAAAAAAGAUAAUCAGCUUGUAUAUAUCUUCAGGCCAAUCAGUCUGUACCUUUUAUUUACCCACUUUUUUGGGCCUAAGACUGGCAUAUGAUUUCUAAGUUACUCAAAAUGGAAUUUUUCAUCCUCUGUCUUCAGGUUUAUAAGUUACUUUUUGGGCACUGGGUAACAAAAAGUGUAUGCCGCCACGAAAAACACAGCUGUAUUUCUAAUAUUUCUCAUACAGAAUCAUUUAUACAACAAAUAAUAAGCUGUCUGUUAACUAACAUUACUCAUGUCUGGAUGAUCUUAGCCCUAACCAUAAUGGCAGAGCUUUUUCUCUGAAUCCUCCCCUCAUCCUUAUAUCUUUAUUGGAUAUAAGGAAAAAGUCUCUUACAGUGAGGGUGUUUCGGUACUGGAACAGGUUGCCUAGACAUGUUGUAGAAGCCCCAUCCCUGGAGACACUCAAAGUCAGGCUGGACCGGGCUGUAGAUGUCCCUACUCAUUGCAGGGAAGUUGGACUAGAUUACUUUUAAAAGUCCCUUCUGACUCUAAGGAAUCUUUGAUUCUAUGAUGAUCUUUUCACUCAAAAAUCUCUGCAAAGCAGCUGACAUAAUUCAUACUUACAUUUUGUUACCAAUAGCCAUACAAGUUCACCUUGUGUCUUCUCAAUGAAGAUAAGUGCUGGUAUUUUUGUGAUCAUCACCUCUUGCAGUACAUCUGCCAUGGUGAAUUUCCACCAGUAACCAAUGGGUGGUAUUCAUGUAGUCCAGCUUUGGGCAUAUGCUUUACCUGGCUAGGUUGAAGGGUUAGUCUCCAUUGGCUUCUUGGAGGUAAGGAACCAAAAAUAGUGGUCCAGAUCUUGUGGAAGCACUUUUACAAGGGACUUGACUUUUAUAAUUAAAUAUAAUAGACAUUUGAGGCCAUUUCCCCACAAACUAGACAAAUCCCUGUAAAGUCAAAGCUGACUGUAUUUGAUAGCCUUGAAUUAAUUGGCUGAUGUUUCUUUAAUAUUAUUUUCUGAAGACAGAAUUUUUCUGUUUGAAAAACAGCACAGAGAAUUCAGAAGAUUUCAACCAACUGUAUGUCUUAUCUGAUGUCCUUCCACAGGACAACUGUGACAUUAUCAGAAAUGUAUAAAAACACCUUGAGAAUAAAAUCUUUUUCCUGAUUGAGUUAAAUCUAUACAAAAUAUUAGAAAUUACUUUAGCAAAGUGAUUAUUUUUCUCCCUUUAAAAACUGGAGAAAGUGAACACUGCACUGACUUUUUUUUUCCUUCUAUUGUUUAAAAUAGUGACUGACCUUUCUUGGGAAUGAAAGAUCUAAAAAUGGCAUUCAUUGCUAGUGACAGGAUGGUGCUUGAGAUGCAGGCUCUCACCCAAUCAGUUACUCAAAUGUAGGAGUAAGCUAUUUCUAUUGAGCAGUAAGAUGGAUUAAAUAUACAGAGUGGCAUUAAAAAAAGACAGUGAGAGUAAUGCACAAGCAUCACCAUUGUUUCUAGAAUAAUUUUAAGUAAAUGCCCUUAAAUUGCACAUGCUUGAAAAUAAAUCUCUGUUCUGCCUGGGUAGUGCUUAUUUUAUUUGCAAGCACAUAUGAAUGAGCUGGAUCCUGAAUUUUUUUUCUUUUUUCUUUUUUUUUUUUUUUGUCAAGCUAUCAAUUCUUUAAAGAAUGAAAUCAACCAUUAAAGACCUUUUCGGGAAGUGUUAAAAAAAAAAAGGUAAAUAAUUUGCCAUGAAGAAGUGGUGGGUAACAGUGAUGCCACCAGGCCUGGAGGAGGCAGUGACCUGGGGAUCCCAGGAUGCCUGAGGCAAUCAUUAGCAAGGCAGUACUCUUCCCCAGGCUGUGACCACUGUGACCACGGAGGCAGAUUGAACAUUCACUCACUGUGGCCGCUACAUUAGCUUCUAUUUGUUGUCCUUAUUUAGGCAGUAGUACUUACCAUGUCUGGCAGGAAGCCCAAAACUUCAUCAAAAUUAUGAUUUGCACUCCUUAUUUCCACUUUUUUUUUUUUCCUGGCAGCAGUUGAAAGACACUUAAAUGUGUGCUCCCUGUUAUGCAUACCAACAAACAUACUUCUCCCCUGAAAAGCUCAUUCAGAAGAGCCUUACCAGGGCUGAAGUUAAGACAACCAUGAGAUGACAAGAUUUAAGGACAUCCUCUGAAUAUUCUGAGGAUGUUCUCCAAAACCUUCAUCAGUGCUUCUCACUGAUGUCCAGAGAUGAGAGGUUCAUCUCAGGGCUGUGCAUUCUUGUGAAAGUGCAGCUCUGUGACUACUCACAUUUUCUUGCAUUUUCAGACUUUACAAAACCUAAACUCCAUCUUGAUGUGAUUCCCACAUGUGAGUGAGUGAAGAUUCAAGCCAAAGGAGACAUCAACUGCUGUAGGAUGAUUGAUGCAAACUCCACUGACAUGGAUGGGAUUCUUUCUUUGUGAUUCAGUGAGCUUUGGAUCAGUUCUGGAGAAGGAAAUUGAACAGUUAUCAAGCAAAUCUAGUCUUACAUAAACAAAAAUGCCUCCUACAAAAUCCAGAGGGCAUGCUGUCAUCCAGCACAAGUCUCACCUAUCAAAAAGGAAAAACGUACUGAACUGAGGGAUCCAGCAUGGAACGAGAUGACAGGUGAGGCACAGCAACACAAAUAGGCAGCAGUGAAUUGGACAAAUCUGCCACCUGCAAGCAGAGAGCAUGAGCUCAGCUAGUGCAAGAAUCUGGUGGCUCUGUGCUGCCCUGCUGGAAGGUCUCCUGACGCCUCCGGACUCCUGCUUCCCUGUAACCACUCCAGUCUCUUCCUGUCACAAUGAAAUCAUUCCUGCUGCAGUGAAGGGAUUAAUUAGGUCUACCAGUACUUCACUACCCUCAAUCCUAACUGAAAAUCAGACAGCUUUUCCUGUUUCGCACGUCUGUGCUCAGAGAUGUGACUGACCUAACGCUUGGCACCUUAGAAAAAUCAUGCCCCAGUGUGGAUCAAGACUCAGGAAACAAAUCCUCUCCAUAACUGCGCAGAGCAGGGCAUAAGCUAAUGCCAGAAUGAUGUGAUGCUUGACGCUUUGACCUUGCUUUCUGUGCAAGACUCUCCAAGCUUCAUACCACUGGGAGCGCAUCAUUUGUGACGAGCAAAAAAGUCAGAGCAACUGGUUCUUAAAAGAUUUGUCAUAGUUUUGCUUUAAAAAUAAUUCAUCUCAUAGCUGAAUUCAGUAUUUUGGGUCAGUUAUAAUUGAAUCUGCUCAGACAGAGAAGUUAUAUGAGACUAAUUACCUACUGUCUCUACUCGAAGUAAAUAUUAAAGGCAAGAAAAAUAAACAUGGGCUGAAGUGUGAUAUGCAAAUCACAUUGAUAACUAUCAGGUUAAGACCAUGAAUUUAUAUUCUUUUAAUCAUUAUGAGGUUUAGAUGGUAUCUCCAGCAAAGAAAAGUCAGUAUGAUGGUAUAUGACUGUCUAUGAUUUGGUCCCUAAUUGCAAACAACAAAAAUACAUUAACCUGCUUGUAUCCUGUGUCUCAUUAUUGUCAUAAAAAUGAUAAGAAAAUUCCUUCUUUGUGAAAUCCAAGCUGCUUUACUCUUUUCAAGGACUGCUUUUGUAAGAAAGGAGAGUAAGGCUUAGGUCACUUAUACUGAAUAUAAGGUAGAGGGAGAUGUUUCAGAAGCAGAGCACUUUAAACAUCUUUAUUCCUACCAAAGUUAAUAAAGUGAAGCCAAUUCUGAGCACUUCUUCAAGCUGCAAUGGAUUUGCUAUUAGUUUUCCUGCAUGAAAAUAUGAUGAAGAACAUAAUUGGAGAAAAGAUAGUUCGAGAAAUAACUUCACAAUGGCAUUACUCUCAAAGAAAAGACAAAAUCAAAAUAUCCUGGGUCUGGUUAAGGCAGGCAAGGACUUAAAAUGAGACUGGGCAUGAAAGGGAUGGAGAAAAGAAUGGGGUGUAAGUUAUGACAUUUUCACCUUUUCAUAUGCAAAUUCUUGAUGAAAAAUCCUUAGAAAAAGAAGCUAGAGUAACUUUCAAAGAUCAGAACUACCUUCUUUUCCUUUUCUCCUUUUUCCUUUUCCUUCCUUUUUUUAACUUUUUUUUUUUUUUUUAAACUUUUCUUCUCUGUUCCUGCAGGGAAGUGUUUAUAGGGACACAUGAGAUCCUGACAGACAUUUCCACUGACCCUCUUACAUGAGAUUUGGCUCAACCGCUCUCCUCUAAGACGGUCUGUGAUUUUGGCAGCCCGAGGCCCAGGGUCCCUUCCAGGGCUGCUGGGCCUGCAGCCACCAUACUGACAUUGGCCCCUUGUAACUGGGAACAGUUAGUGGGAGCUCCUAAAAAUACACAGAAGCAAACAAGGAGCUAAUGCUGCUGCUUUGUGCUCAGAGAAGAUGCAUUAUUCAUACAGUACAUAGACAAAAUAGAGAGAAGAUGCCUGGCAAAGCCCCCAGAAUGGCUUAGUUACCCUCGAGUAAAAACUUCUAUUUGUUGAGUAGACUCCAUAAAUAUAGCAGGACUCCUGAAAUGUCCAGAUGUUUCUGAGCAGAUGAAGAAUGUUCUCUUUCUGAAAGCUUACUGAAUUUUUUAUUAUCUCAUGCACUGUUUGCGUGGGCAGGUCUUCUGAGUGAGUCAGAGCAAACAGCAAUCACUGCUGCAGGUAUCCAGCGAGAGAGGACAAUUCCUUAACCUGGGAGCUCCUAAAGAGGUCCUAACGUGCAGAGCGCUGAUACAUACACAGAAAAUAAUCACUGAAUCAAUGAGCUAAACUUCUCUGAGGGACCUUAACGUAGCCGUGCUGUAAAGAAAGGAUUACUUAGCAUUGAUAGCCAUGCCCUCAGAUAUAGCCGUGGUGGUGUGCUCUCAGGCACACAGACCUCGCUCUUCCAUGGGAGACACAAUGCCAUAGGAAGAUUCUGGAGUUAAGGCAGAUAUUGAGUUAGCCCUCUCUAUUGAAUUGGAGUUUUUGCAGAUGGGAAAUAGUUUCUUCUCCAUGGUAAUUCUUUAGUAAUGCCGCUCCACUUGGACCAAUUUAAACUGGAAGAAAAAGGUCUGCCUGUGAUAUCUCUGCCUCAGUAGGACAGCAUGACCAGAUUUAUAUCUUUACCUUGCAUUUUUGUCCGGAGGGCUUACGCUUUCAUCUGAUUAUGCUCUCUCUUGUGAGAUUCUCUCUAUGCUUAAAAUAGAAAAUGCCACUAACCCCAGGACUGCUGAUAGGGCCGGAGUGCCUCCAAACAGCAGUCUUAUGCGUUCACUCUCCCUUACACCAACCCUGCAUCUUCUCUAUUUCUGCUACUACCACCAACUUAGUGCCAGCCAUAUGUAUUUAAGGGGUUGAGCUGGCUUCCUUGACUUGAUAAUCAAUGUGUGAUUAUUUUGUGGUUUUCCAUGUGGAUUUUAGUUUCUCCAGUUCCUGCUUCUAUUGCACACUAAAGAUUUCAUUUACUCGAAUGCUGCUUUUGUAUGCUUUCUUUAUGGAGCAUAAAAGAACCUAGAAUGAUUUUUGAGUGUGUCUAUACGCUUGUUAUAUGUAUUUGUUCAUGCUUUUCUGAAGCUACACACACCUGCACGUAUAUAUGUAUUUACAUUCCUGUAACUGUGUGUAACCAAAAUGAGAUGAUGAGCUGAUGAAGACCACCAGCAAAUAAUAUAAAAUAAUAUAGUAGUGCAACCUUAAUGCAGUGUUCAGAGUUGCAGCUUGACUCCAGCCAGGACUGAUCAGACUCUGCUUAGUUCUGAAACAUCAGUCACUGUGUAUGACAGCCUCCUCUCUCCCUUCUCUCCCUUUGCUCUUGUAAUGCAUCCUUGCAUGUAAGCCAGCUUGAGCAGCUGGAAGCUUGACUGCAACCUAACCCCAUUUUGAAUCAUGCCCAAGAUGCAACAGCCAGAUUUCUUACUGCACUAUUUUAAAGCAUAGAUGCAAGAGGCAUCGGCAUCUAUGUUUUGUGGCCCAGCAAAUGUCAUGGCAAGGCAAGUGGGAUGGAUGGCUCCUCCCCAGGUGCAGGGUUGCAAAUCCAGUUCACCCCUUCCCUACCCCUCAAGCCAUGUGGCAGGCUGUCUGGAAGCAUAGCAUUGUUCAUCACAUUAAUGUUCAGCUGUCGUGGAUGUGAAGAGGAAGUCAAGGGCUCACAGGACAGAAGAGAUGGACAGAGCAGACCUUUGAGGAGGAACAGCUUUGCAGCUUAGCAGUCAGCACACGACCUGGGGAAAGCCAACAAGGAGCUGGGAGCACUUCUUAGACAAACAACAUUAAAAAGCUGUUACGUAAAACCCAGAAACCAUGCAGGGUCAAGAGGCAGGACCUGAAGUUUCUCUUGCCAGCCCUGUGCUCACCUUCAUCUUCCCUGCAUCAUCACUGAUAGCUCUCCUGUCUCUGUGCAGUAAGGUGCCCUUGCCAGGAUAUCUGUCAUUUUCAUCAGUUCCCAUCGCUCAGCUCUUCAAAACUUCCUACUAGUGUCAUUUAGGCUCUCUCCUUCUCAUUGGCUCCUUCUAGCUGCUAACAUAUACCAGCAAUUUUCACAGUCGCCUGCUUUCCAUCUGUUACAGUUUCACUGAUGUUUUUUUGUCUGACUUCCUCUAUGAUCUCAGCUUGCUUUUGUUGAAGUUAUACACUUUUCCAUCCUUGCUGUGAGUUUUUGGAUUUUUAGGCAUCAAAUAAAAAAUCUCUAAACAGUUCUUAACCACAUUUCACCCUAUUUCAGUUACAUCUCACAGAUGAUUCAAUUCAUAACAGCUUUCGGUUUGGUGACUUCAGAGGUACACAGAUAAUUGAUUGGGAUUUUUUCCUCAUGGUAUAUAAUGAAUGUAAUCCAGUCACGCUCUCUUGCACCUUAAGUAUUUCCUAACUUCCAGGCACGUGGUCAGUCCUUAAGCAGUAGUGCUCCCAGCUCUGCCAGCAACACUUUAAAAUGCCCUUUAUAAUUUCAAACAGUUCUGAUGCUGGAGUAUCCCAGCACAAGCCCUCCUGCACCUGCCAGACCCUUGCCAGCCCACCUGAGAGCUCCCCUCCCAGAGCAGCAGGAAAGGAGCUCCAUUUCCACUUGGUUGUUCAAUUUCCCUGUCCUCAGCCGAGGGGAUCCUUCACCAUGUGUGCUGACCCUCUGGGCUGUGAGCCACCUGCUUCAGUGUUGUCUCCCUGUAAGUGGGCCAUGGAACUUUGAUUCUAGCAUUUGUUGCCCUCUUGUUUUUACGCUUUCCAAAUCAUCGUUACUGCUUUGCACAUACAAGUUAUAUGAAGCUUUUGGGUUUCAGUGGCAGAAAGGCCAAGUAUAUGUUCAUAACCGAACAGUUCCAGUUCUUUGGCAAUUUAGAACACCUCUUUCAGUCCCUUGGUGUCCUGACCUCACAUGGAGCUGAUUCAAAUUUUUAAUUCAUCCCGUGGCUAAAAGCUUCUUGUCCUCAGUGGCAGAAUGGUUAGAAGGCAUUUCAAGAUUGCCUGAAGACAACCGCAUUCAGGACUACUCUUUGGCAGGGAACAUCUCAAGUCACGCAUUCCUCAUGGCCCUGUCUCCAGAGUUCACGCUUGGUAUGCCUACACUUGAGAGAGGAGCUGCAGGCCCUCAGGGUUUUCUUUCAUCACUAAGGACAAAGGCAAGAGAUGCCAAGCAGCACCAGAAGAGCCAAUCGCAGUGCUAUGAACAACAGCAGGUCCCCUAAUGCCUUGGAUAAGACCAGCAAUUUCACAGUCUGCAGAAGGGAACGACUGAGGAAAUUCUGUGGAAUUCAGUAGAAAUCCUGAACAUUUUUCAUUACGAUAAUAAAAGAAACGAAGCGUUAAGUGGGAAGGAAAGGUGCUGAAGGCUACAAGAAAAGUAUUGCCUGCUUUACCAGUAACAGUGGUUCUGAGCAGUAGGCCUAGGUGCCUAGAGAAAAAGGAGCGUGGGCUUCGCUGAGAGGCCUACAAUGGCACCGAGGAGCCUUCAGAGAUGAAUGGCAGCUGAUUUCCCACAGAUCGAUGAUUUCCUGAGACAGAUUUCAUUCUGAAGCAGCGAACACAAAAUUUACAUAGCCAGAGUAUUUUUUACUGAAGUGAAAAUUGAAACAGCUAAACUGUGUUUAUGCAUGUGUAUGCAUAUGUAUCAACUUUCCUUCCUCACUUGACAUGAUUGCAAAAAGAAAUUUCCAUCCUGACUUUUCACACCCACAUGGGUACAGGAAGAAGAAAUUUAAAGGUUGCUUGAAUUUAUGUAUCCACUGUGAAAUUCCUGAGUACUGAAAAGUACAUGUUGGUGAGGAGAUAUGAGUGCUGUGUAAUUUACUGUGUGAGUGCUUCCAAGUGAAAUGUUACUGUACAUCACAUCGCACUUCUUACUGAGUGGGAGUUCACCUUGCUUAUCUUUGGCCAAAGUUUUGCAGUGACAUUCGCUGUGCAAAACCUACCCUUUACCUUAGCUAAGUGGUGCUUUAGAAGCAAUAGUUAGCAGCUGGAAACACCUAAACAGCAUGGAGCAAUUUCCUGUGUUUAACAGACAAGAAUGUAAUUUUACCUAUAUAGUUAUUUGUUUCAAUUUUAAGUUAUUCAUUGGAAUCAAAUCAUGAGAAUAGAGUACUUCCAGUAAUUUCCUCAAUUAGGAAAUGAAACGUGAAAUUCUUAAAACCAGUUUUACAAUAAGUAGUGGAGGAGAUGCUCAGAAAACCUCUGACUGAGACUUAUUCAAUGCCAGAGAUACUCAGAAUGGGCUUUAAACCAUAAAAUUCACACGUUAACUUGAAUUUCAUUUCUGACUGGUUGGCAUGACUGGCUUAUCACCAUGUCUGUGUGUUUGCAUGUCUAAGUGUAAAUAAGUGCAUUUUCCUUGCCUUAUAAAGACAAUGUCAUAGAUUUGACUUUUCUGCCUUGGGCAGCAAGCCCCACAGAUGAUUAUAUGGGGAUAAAACAUAUGUCAAAGAAAAUGUUUCUUAGCUCUCUUGAAUGCAGUGCCAAUUAUGUCAGGCUAGCUCUUACUGCUUUAAAUUAAAACCAUACUUCAUCUCAGAAUUAAUUUAAUUUUCUGGAAUAAAUGCGCUUAAAAAAUCCAACUUGGAUUCUCCAAAGGAUAAGGGUCAGCUAUUCAGGGCAUCUGAAGAAUAGCAUAAGAGUCAUAUUCAGGCAGCCUAAAUUCAACCCGAAUCACUGUGCUCAGGAUUUCUUAUCAACCUGCUGUAAGUCUGUAGAGCACAGGGACUAUUCGACUCCUGGACCGAGAUGGAAUUUAAAUCCUGGAUAUUCAGCAAACCAUUUCCUAAUUCUUUAUGUUACUGAAGGAAGUGACCCUAGCAAGACUUGAUAGGCAUUAAAGGGUGGCCUAUUUAAACAAAGGGCAGCCCUCAGUUGUCAGUGAUUUUCACUAGUCUUAAAAGAGGAAAACAAUCCUUAUAUCUAUUGAAAAUCUACUUCUGGAUCUGCCCCCUAAAACAGUAUUAUCAGAAAGAUGUAUUUCCCUUGCUUUUGUAAUGCAAAGGAAUCAUAGACAACUUUGCUUUAAGAGGCAAGAAAGGUAACUAAUUCUGUACUGUCAAAAAUUUUAUCUUUUGAAAAGUAGAGUGAUGAAUCAUAGCCAAAAAAAAAGCCCCGUGGCCCCGGCUCCAAAAACCAAACAAUCCAGCAAAAAUAAAGAACAAACCAAAUCCUAUUGGUUUGUCAUCCAUCUGUGUUUCAAACAAUCAGAAACAACAGCAUCACGUAUCUUCUGGUCUAUACCUCCCUGGCCAUUCUAAUUAAUACUGGCUCAAGGCAGUAUUUAUUUCUUAGCUCGUGAGAUAAUAGGUUAUUGACUGACCUGUGAGGUAAUAGCCAAUUCUGUGUCUCACGUAGGAAGUGAUUGUGUGGAUUGAAGUUUGCCAUUGAUUUUGCUUCCAUACACUCAGGGGGACCAUCUAUAUAACUGUCACAUAAAUAAGAAGAAAAGGCCCUUAGUGACAUUUACUGACUUCUGAAGAUUCCUCACCUGCAUCCACUUGACAUUACUGUGGCCAGACCAAAAACCCACUGAACUCACCACUAACUUCAGUGCAGUUCACCAGACCUUCCUUAUAUGAAGCAGGGAAAUAGGAAGAGCUGACAACCUGAAGUCAUGGACAGGUGCAACAAUAAUGUAGAUUCUACAUCUUCUUCAUCCUGUGCUAUUUGCCAUCUCCUAACUGCACGGAUUCUGAGGACCCAAGAGAAGCAUGAAAUAUCUGUAGUGGUAUCUUAAAGGACUGAAAAAAAGCAGAGAGAGAUUAAAAUCAGAUACCAGUGGAGCUUUAAGUGCAAUGAAUUGAAAGGAAAUAAGGAAAGGUGAGCAUACGAUCACAAACACAGAACUUGGUGCAAUUUAGGAGCUCCAUUCUACUGAAAGCUUCAGGAGUAGACAAACUGGUGUCACUGCAGAAUAUUUGGUAAAAAAGUACUUGUUUCAUCUGUAUCGUUUUGGUUAUUCAAAAUCAUAAACAGUGCCUUGGAGAGCAGAACGAGGAUAAAUAGAAAAGUUUCAGCUUUUCUGAAACACGUAUUUCUGUAAUGUGCUUCAGAAAGAAGGAGGUUUCAGUGAGUCAGUGUGCUGCUGCAAGAGUUGGAGUUCCUCUGGUAAAUUUUUGUCAUGGUGGUAAUUGCAGAAAUAAGCAGUUCCUCCACCACUCACCCAUUUAUACCUCUCUCAAUAUUAAAUUAACUAACUCCCUUUUGGGAGCCAUUUGGAGAAUGAUCAGCAAAAACCAAACGCAGAAAAUUACUGAAAUCUCUGUUGCAUUCUUCUGUUGGUAUUACUGGGAAAUAUCAUCCAUUUCUUCUGGCCAGUGAUUUUCCCAGAUGCAUUUGCUGGCUGCCCUGCUUAGACCCAUGUCCUGUCUAAAGCCAAAGCUUACAAAGGCUCUUUGAAAAGUCUUUUUGAGACGGUGUGCUGGCUAAUUAAACAUUUAUUAAACAUCAUAGUAGCUUGAGAAUUAAUUUCACCUUCCUGUUUCUCAAGCCUCAGCUCUUUUCUAAGCUUUGACUGUACCCCUGACUUCAGCUGCUUGCCUGGCUUGGUUAGGAUUUCCCAGUUUGCUUGUACACCUGUGUGUCAUUUGCAGGGAAGAUGCUCCUCAUUAAGAUACACGAUGGGGAUCUUAAAAGGUAUUCAUUUAUUUGACAAAAAGGCAUAUUGGAACAGUACUACUAGGUGGCAUGUGCACCUUGUUUUUAUUAAGUCACGUAGUAGUGAAAAAAUUAAUAUAAAAUCCAAGGAGAACAUUGAAAGCUAAUUUGCCUUAAGGUACAGAAGCUUCUGAAAAACUGCUAUUUUUUAUUCAAAUAUUACAGGGACAUAGCAUUUUUAUUCUCUCAUUUAUGUCAUUUAGGAUAGCUAAUGAUAUAUUAUUACACGACCCAAAGCCAGCGUUGCGUUCUCUUCCUUGUAUCUGGUACUGCUUUUCCAACUACUUUGUUCCACCCAAACCAUUUUAG